rnacentral:tmRNA from 1 species
GGGGGCGAAAAGGUUUCGACUGCUAAGGUAGAGCGCAGGUCGCAUGCGGAGGAUGAUCGUUGGCCUCCUUAAUCAUCGGUCAGAAAAGUAACUGCGAACAACGAACUCGCACUCGCCGCUUAGUUCGGCGACGUCUUCACCUGGAUGCCUGAUAUAGGUUUGAAGGCGAAAGCAUCAGGCUGGCUGCACUUGCCGGGCAGGCGGGCAAAGGCAGCAAGAGCUAACAGCAAGCUGCUUCCAGUAACGGUUCGAGUGGCACCAAAAUACUGGACUAAGAUUUAAGACCACCCUAAGCAUGUAGAAGCCUUCGUGAAGUCUUUUCAGGACCCGGGUUCAACUCCCGGCGCCUCCACCA